AGAAGAUGACGAGUGGCGGACGGGUGAGUAAUGCUUGGGAACUUGCCUUUGCGAGGGGGAUAACAGUUGGAAACGACUGCUAAUACCGCAUAAUGUCUUCGGACCAAACGGGGCUUCGGCUCCGGCGCAAAGAGAGGCCCAAGUGAGAUUAGCUAGUUGGUAAGGUAACGGCUUACCAAGGCGACGAUCUCUAGCUGUUCUGAGAGGAAGAUCAGCCACACUGGGACUGAGACACGGCCCAGACUCCUACGGGAGGCAGCAGUGGGGAAUAUUGCACAAUGGGGGAAACCCUGAUGCAGCCAUGCCGCGUGUGUGAAGAAGGCCUUCGGGUUGUAAAGCACUUUCAGUUGUGAGGAAAAGUUAGUAGUUAAUACCUGCUAGCCGUGACGUUAACAACAGAAGAAGCACCGGCUAACUCCGUGCCAGCAGCCGCGGUAAUACGGAGGGUGCGAGCGUUAAUCGGAAUUACUGGGCGUAAAGCGCACGCAGGCGGUUUGUUAAGCUAGAUGUGAAAGCCCCGGGCUCAACCUGGGAUGGUCAUUUAGAACUGGCAGACUAGAGUCUUGGAGAGGGGAGUGGAAUUCCAGGUGUAGCGGUGAAAUGCGUAGAUAUCUGGAGGAACAUCAGUGGCGAAGGCGACUCCCUGGCCAAAGACUGACGCUCAUGUGCGAAAGUGUGGGUAGCGAACAGGAUUAGAUACCCUGGUAGUCCACACCGUAAACGCUGUCUACUAGCUGUGUGUGUCUUUAAGACGUGCGUAGCGAAGCUAACGCGCUAAGUAGACCGCCUGGGGAGUA
rnacentral:rRNA from 2 species